rnacentral:rRNA from 1 species
AGUGGCGAACGGGUGAGUAACGCGUAGAUAACCUACCUUUUAGAUUGGGAUAAUUCAUGGAAACGUGGACUAAUACCAUAUGUUGUCUUUUUAUCGCAUGAUAAUUAGAUGAAAGAUCUUGAAUCGCUAAAAGAUGGGUCUGCGUGACAUUAGCUAGUUGGAGAGGUAACAGCUCCCCAAGGCUUCGAUGUCUAGCUGGUCUGAGAGGAUGAUCAGCCACACUGGGACUGAGAUACGGCCCAGACUCCUACGGGAGGCAGCAGUGAGGAAUAUUGCACAAUGGGGGCAACCCUGAUGCAGCAACGCCGCGUGUACGAUGACACUAUUCUGUAGCGUAAAGUACUGUUAAUCGUGACGAACGUAUAGGUUUACAGCCUGUAUUGACGGUAGCGAUAGAGGAAGCUCCGGCUAACUCCGUGCCAGCAGCCGCGGUAAUACAGAGGGAGCGAGCGUUGUCCGGAUUUAUUGGGCGUAAAGGGCAUGUAGGUGGUACAGACAGUCAGUUGUUAAAUAUUACGGCUUAACCGUGCUAUGCAAUUGAUACUUCUGUUCUUGAGUAUGUGAGGGGAUGAUGGAAUGCCUAGUGU